AGAGUUUGAUCCUGGCUCAGGACGAACGCUGGCGGCGUGUCUAAGGCAUGCAAGUCGAACGAUUCACCUUCUUCGGAAGAUUGAAUAGUGGCAAACGGGAGAGGAACACAUUGGUAACCUACCUUGAGGACGGGGACAAUCCGGCGAAAGCCGGACUAAUACCCGAUGGACAAGGGGGGACGAAAGUCAAUCCCUUGUAAAUGCUCCGGCGCCUCAAGAGGGGCCUAUGUUCUAUCAGCUUGUUGGUGAGGUAACGGCUCACCAAGGCGACGACGGAUACCGGGUGUGAGAGCAUGACCCGGCUCACUGGGACUGAGACACGGCCCAGACACCUACGGGUGGCUGCAGUCAAGAAUAUUCCGCAAUGCACGAAAGUGUGACGGAGCGACGCCGCGUGAUGGAUGAAGGCUUUCGGGUCGUAAACAUCUUUUAUCAGGGACGAACAAAUGACGGUACCUGAUGAAUAAGGGGUUGCUAACUCUGUGCCAGCAGCCGCGGUAA
rnacentral:rRNA from 1 species